rnacentral:rRNA from 1 species
GACGAACGCUGGCGGCGUGCUUAACACAUGCAAGUCGAACGGAAAGGCCUUUUCGGAGGUACUCGAGUGGCGAACGGGUGAGUAACACGUGGGUGAUCUGCCCUGCACUCUGGGAUAAGCCUGGGAAACUGGGUCUAAUACCGGAUAGGACCGCACUUUAGUGUGUGUGGUGGAAAGUUUUUUCGGUGUAGGAUGAGCCCGCGGCCUAUCAGCUUGUUGGUGGGGUAAUGGCCUACCAAGGCGGCGACGGGUAGCCGGACUGAGAGGUUGGUCGGCCACAUUGGGACUGAGAUACGGCCCAGACUCCUACGGGAGGCAGAGGUGGGGAAUAUUGCACAAUGGGCGCAAGCCUGAUGCAGCGACGCCGCGUGGGGGAUGACGGCCUUCGGGUUGUAAACUCCUUUCGCCAGGGACGAAGCGUUUUGUGACGGUACCUGGAGAAGAAGCACCGGCUAACUACGUG